GUGCUUGGAGGCACAUUCAGUCUUAGUUCAUUAGGCUAACUAGUGGGCUGAGCUCUUCCUUAGGAAGCAGUGGUUCCUGAGGAGAGCCAGAAAACAUCAACCCUUCCCUUGGGCUCAUGAUUUCUCUCUGCCAUCACAGCUCUCCAGCUAGAAGCCUAGCAGGGCCAGUCAUCAGAAAACAGAAUGGUAUUGCAGUCCAAUUUUAAUGAGCUCACCGGAAAGGAAGGGAGCAAAAUGCAGAGACGUCUAAAUCAUCAGCUGCUUGCUCUCCAAAUUCUAGAAUUUCUGGACCAGGAGCAGAGCGUCUGCGUUUCCAUAUAUCGUCGGCCUGUCAAGCUCAAUGCCUUUUCCAGUUUGCUGCGGGACAGCCUUUCAUGACAUGCUGGAUUGUUAUUACCGACUAUGCCAAGUGCACAGACCUGCUUUGAAUUUGGGUUUCUCUUCUGCAGCAUUACAAAGGUUUUUAUUGGAAUGUCACUCGGAUUUCCAAGCUUUGAAGAUGUUUCAAUAACGCAAUAAAAGGCAGGUCCUUGCCACAACAAAAGGCAAAAAUAUCGUGUUUGAAUAAACAAAAUUCUUUGGCCCUAUGGAA